rnacentral:rRNA from 2 species
AUUUCCGUAGGUGAACCUGCGGAAGGAUCAUUA